rnacentral:rRNA from 1 species
GACAGAGGUGCCAAGCGUUAGGCGGAAUCACUGGGCUUAAAGCGUGUGUAGGCGGAUUUGUAAGUACCUUGUGAAAUCCCACGGCUCACCCGUGGAACUGCUCGGUAUACUGGGUGUCUUGAGCCACUUAGGGGCUACCGGAACAAAUGGUGGAGCGGUGAAAUGCGUAGAUAUCAUUUGGAACGCCAAUGGUGAAAACAGGUAGCUGGGAGUGUGCUGACGCUGAGACACGAAAGCCAGGGGAGCAAACGGG